AAUGAGCGCUGGCGGCAGGCCUAACACAUGCAAGUCGAACGGAUCCUUCGGGAUUAGUGGCGGACGGGUGAGUAGCGCGUGGGAACAUACCCAAAGGUACGGAAUAGCCUCGGGAAACUGGGAGUAAUACCGUAUGUGGUCGAGAGACGAAAGAUUUAUCGCCAAAGGAUUGGCCCGCGUUGGAUUAGGUAGUUGGUGGGGUAAUGGCCUACCAAGCCGACGAUCCAUAGCUGGUUUGAGAGGAUGAUCAGCCACACUGGGACUGAGACACGGCCCAGACUCCUACGGGAGGCAGCAGUGGGGAAUCUUAGACAAUGGGGGAAACCCUGAUCUAGCCAUGCCGCGUGAUCGAUGAAGGCCUUAGGGUUGUAAAGAUCUUUCAGGUGGGAAGAUAAUGACUGUACCACCAGAAGAAGCCCCGGCUAACUCCGUGCCAGCAGCCGCAGUAA
rnacentral:rRNA from 1 species